AUUGAACGCUGGCGGCAGGCCUAACACAUGCAAGUCGAGCGGGGACUUCGGUCCUAGCGGCGAACGGGUGAGUAAUGCUUAGGAAUCUGCCCAGUAGUGGGGGAUAACGUCCCGAAAGGGACGCUAAUACCGCAUACGUCCUACGGGAGAAAGAGGGGGAUCUUCGGACCUCUCGCUAUUGGAUGAGCCCAAGUCGGAUUAGCUAGUUGGUAGGGUAAUGGCCUACCAAGGCGACGAUCCGUAGCUGGUCUGAGAGGAUGAUCAGCCACACUGGAACUGAGACACGGUCCAGACUCCUACGGGAGGCAGCAGUGGGGAAUAUUGGACAAUGGGCGAAAGCCUGAUCCAGCCAUGCCGCGUGUGUGAAGAAGGCCUUCGGGUUGUAAAGCACUUUAAGCGGGGAGGAAGGUUCGCGGCCUAAUACGUCGCGGAAUUGACGUUACCCGCAGAAUAAGCACCGGCUAACUCUGUG
rnacentral:rRNA from 1 species